GGGAGGGAGGCCCUGACAUGAGACACCCAGCAAUUCCAGAACUCCCCUCCUGCCCCAUCCCCCUUCUGGCUGCCAUCCCACGCUCUCAGGGCCGCUCCUUCCAUUUGAACUCCUCCACUUUCUACCACUUUCCUUCUUAGAGGAGCCAGACCUUUAGUCCUCUGUCAGAGUGGAAAGCCAUCCAACCCAACAAAACGUGGGGGGAUAUUUAAUUCAGACUGCAAAUAGGGUAGGCCCUUAUGUACAUAGAUAGCCGGGAGCUUGACUAACCAUUUUCUGCUUCUGUUUCCUCAUCUGUGUAACGGGACAAUAAUAGCCCCUUCGGCACAGGCAGCUAAGCCUGUGUUCAGUAACUGCCAGGUAUCAUUAACACCAUUGUCCUCUUAGGGUCAUCAUCUUGGGACCUGGGAGUGUCAGGAGCUCCCAUGUAAGAUGGCAAGCUCUUCCAAUGGCCCCACAUUCUAGAAGCCAGUAUUAGGAGUCACAAGGGCACAAUAGUUAGAAUGUUAGAGCUGGAAGAUCACCUAGCCCCGGGAGGGGAAAGGCCCCAAGAAAGGCAGAGACUAGCCUUAAGCCUCUCAUUUGGUCAGUGGCAGAGUCAGGACAGGAACCCAGGCCUCCUGCAUCCAGGCCACUUCUCAUUGCAUUCCAGCACUCUGAGUCCCUCAGAGUCCCGGAGGUCAAGGAGCAAGCUUAAUGCAUCUCUGUCAUCUGGGGAAAUGAGCGGGGCUCCUGGGAAAUGGGAAGUAUUAUGCACCCGGAACGGCUGCCAAAGAGCCACCUGAUGGGAGAGAAGGCUGUGGGCCCCCAGGGCAGCCCAGGAGGGCCUGGCCAGUGCUACCGCUCCUCAGGCAGGGCUCCGAGACAUGAGUGAAAGGAUGAAAAACAAUUCAAGGGAACUUUGGGGGCCAAGACAAAGCAGCAGCAUUUGACUUGCCUUGAAACUGCCCUCAAGUUCUACCCACUCGGGGAAGUGGAAUCAGCAGAGGGAGUUGGCUGGGCAGGGCUGAACCUUACGGGAGAUGUGGCCCAACUGACCUGCGCCCACAGCAGCCAGAACACCCAAGCCUCUGAUUUCCCCCUCAGCGUCCCCCUCCUUAGCUCCCCUCCCCACAUCUGUGCCUCUGCUGCGGCAUCUGGAGUCCCCCCGGGUAGCCCCAGCCCGGGAUGUGCAAAACAAAACCUAGCUCCUGCGAUUGAGAAAGUCAGGUUUCGGAUACACAUAAAGUCUAUAGGCUGACAUUCCGAUGUCAAUCACAGCGCCUGCCCCAAUAGGCAGCAAAGUUUUACGCCAUGUGACCACACCCAUCCCAAGCUGCAGCUAAUUGGUCAAGACAGUGGCACGUGACUCAAGUCCGUGAAUCCAGUGAAAUGGGAGCUGGACCAAUCAGACUCCCCCUCUGAAAAUUUGAACUAUCCGGGAAAACUGAGAUGAGGAAUCUCCAGGGCUCCUUUGGGCGACCCUGCCCCCACAGCUUCCAGUGGAGGUCAUCGGCCCUGGUGAAACCUAGCUGGAUGUCCUGAGAACCUCUCAAUCAC
rnacentral:lncRNA from 1 species